CUGGUGAAAGUGGAGUUUCAGCUCCUCUGCUUUGCAAAAGUGGUGUAGGCUGUGAAGUACGGGAAGCUUUCUCACCGAAUAGAACUGGAAGGGCAGCCAGGCUAUCACGGUCAUUCUGUGCUGCAAGCCUUUGUGUCCACAUCUCAGAAUUGGAUGAGGUUCCCUCCAGGAUUCCUCUGCAGCAGAGUGUCUCAGGUGCCAAGCACAGCCCAAAUGGCAGUCUGAAGAAAAUGUCUCCCAAAAAGGGAGACCCACAGUCCAUUAGGAGGGAUGUUGAGAGCUUAUUCUUUACUACAGCUGGUCCUGUCAGGCAUUUAUCUAACUAUAUGAUCAGUUCUUGAAUUACGUUUCCUUCAGUCAAGCUACAUACCUACCUUUCUAAAUUUACAGCUUGCUCAGUGAACACAGUUUCUGGUAGGAAUCCAUCAGCCUGCAAGUUUGUUAAAGGUGUGAUGUUAUCAGCAGUUCAGUUUCAGGGUUUUCCACAUGCCGCUGUGCUGCACAAGAAAAGCAAAACAGCAGGGGAAGCGUGGAUGUUAGAGAGAAUAAUAGCAUAGCAGAAAGCUUCCUGAUUCUCAAACAACUGGGGAUUCCUUCUGAUAACAUGGGAUUUCAGUGGAUUUGCAACUAGGACGUUGGGUUUUACUAAGCGUAUGAAAGCUUUUCCCCCCUAUUGUCAGCUGAAAUGCCUUCUGCAUUUCAGAUGAAAGAUUGGAAGUCAAUAUAGGACAUCACCUGUAGGUGAUAUAGGACAUCACCUGGCAAAUUUCAUAAAGCUCAAUGAAGGGGAAUGUAUGUACGCUCUUGUAGCAAGGAGCAGAGCAAGGUUCUGUGAGGAGAGCAGAGACCUAGGAGAUACAGACUGUGUAUGCAGGGCCCUGCUCCUCUACUGCUGUUUGUGGAGGUACUUACAUCAUGAAACCUCAUGCUAAAGCACAGACUGCAUAUAUUCCUGUGGCAUAGUGCUUUGGUGUACUCACCUACCAUCAUCUAGAUCGGAGAUGUGGUUUUACCCAGUCUGCAAUGGUUCUUCUUUGAGCUCUCCACCAACAACUCUGUAGGUGGGGCUCACUGCACUUUUUCAUUCUCUGUUGCCCAGGUCAGAAUAGUCUUUUAUAUCCCAUUGCUUAACUCUGAAAAGUUAAACUAAAUUAAUGUCACAAAGUUAAAAUACAAAAUGGCAUGAGUACUAAGUUGUGACUUUAAUUCCAGGGCUGUAUGCUGAGACAGACUGUGACUUCUCUUUUGUUUAAAACUUUAGGAGGCUAAGUAGUGAGUAUGUAUCCAGUGGAGUGAGCAGCUAGACAUCAGUAGCUUUGGUGUUGCAUUCAUUCGCCCUCUGUACAGAGAAUUAAUUCAUCUUCACACAGGCAGAAAAGUAAAGGACUGCAAUGAUGAAUGAAACCAGAAUGAAAGGCAAUUGCAUAUUUUCUCAUGACUGCUGUAAAUCCCACUGGCUAAAAGACAGUCCACUUUCUCUCCCUUUUGAACCUAAGAGCAGCUAUAAUGGGUCAGACCAGAGAUUUGCCCAUUCCAGUGUUUUGUGCAUGAUGUGGGCUAACAGCAGAGCCCUGAGCAAAAAGUUUAAAAAUCAGACAAGCAUACAGUUUCACUUUACUCAGUGUGUUCCUUUAGUUUCUGGAAAAUCUGCAGCUGAGGUUUUCUUCAGCCACUGACUGUAUCCACAUCUGUGUGUACAACUGAUCCGUAUCAAAUGUAUCUCCAUGCUGGAUAGUCUUGAUGGACUUGUGCAGGGCUCGGAGUAACUUCAUUCACAGAGCUGUCUGUGCUUGUGAGGAUGGGAUCUGAAAAGGCUGCAGAAAUAUAAAGGGCAAGUCUCUCAGAAGCUGGUAUUUUCCCACUCUGUGUUGUGGAAAUGAGUUUCAGUUCAUCAGUGUUACUCAUGGCUCUCACUUCUUCUGAGUAACUCAUAACUCCAAAAGAUGCAAGUGGAAAAUUGGGUCUUUUUAAUACAUUGUAUAGCUUUAAAAAAGCAAUGCCUGUACAUAGAGAAAAAAACAGAAGUAGAUCUGCUUAGUGUACUUACCCUUUCCAAAGGGAUGGACUCUAAACGAUUUUGGUAGAAUCACCAGAUAAUUCUAUUAAGCUAAAUACAACAAGAUGCAACAUUUUAUAUUUCUUAAUUAUGCAAACUUUACUUUUGGCCCUAUGGUAUACAUAAUUCUUCACGUGUCCAGAAAAAGAAAUAAAAAAAGAUAAUAUUACAUAAAUCCAAAGCCCUCCACACUCCGAUAUGGGUCUUUCUUGUAGUGACUCUGAGGACACAUUCUGUCCACUGCCAUUAUCAUAGUGCAAGAACUCACUGUGCUUGUACACCUGCCAAAGUCCCAGAUAUUUCCUCUCAAAUCCGAUUGUGUGAUCAGAUUCCAUUUAAAAUUCUCAGCCCCUAUGCUAAUACAUGGAUUAAAUACUGUUCAGGCUGAAAAUAUAAUUUGAUCCUUUACAAGACAGCAGAAAUUUCAGAAGAGAUGUAAUGCUAUUCUAAUGAUCUAUGAUCUAGACUCAAUGUUUUUGUAGAAAACAGAAAAUUGGCAGCAUCUCUUCUUUGGUAAUUCGUUCUUGGAAAAAUUAAGCUUCUUAAUAAAUCUCAGUAGCCAUGGAUGGAAAUCCACCAACUGCAACAGUACUUACUGACCUUUUCCAAGAGUUAGAUUUAAGUAGACUCUCUAGUACAACUGCAGAUGGAGUAGUCAAGUUAGAACUUUUUGAUAUUUGUACUGAUGAGGUUCUCAUUUUCUUUCAACUUGACACAUUCUUCACUCCCAAGGACAUGUUCUCUCUCCAGUGUGUUGUGGAAAUGACUGAGCUGGCUCAGGUACUGGGAUGAAUGUAAUUGUGGUGGCCUAGAGAUGAGCAGAGGGCUUACCCCACUUCUUGGCAGGCUCAUGUGCAGCUUGACUGUGUCCAGCAUUGGAGCAAACUCAUGCCAGCUAGGCCCCUUCUGCAGUAUAUUACAGCUGUAAUGAAGACACGCACUUCACAAGUGCUUGAUCUUUUCCUCAUAUGGUCACUUGUAGGCCUACUGAGGGAGCAUCUUGUAUCAGUGGAAAUAUUAACGGUGUUGUCAUGACAUACUUCUCCUUUGUUCCACUGUGCUUUCAGUGUUAAAAAAAAAAAAAAGCCAGGUGAAGUCAGUCCCACAGGGAUAUCUGUUUUUUUCCAACUGUGUUACUAAAGCAAGGCAGCUAUGGGAACACUGAUUAAAACAUAUGGAAUAUCUUUGUCCGGUUUCACUCUUGUGUACUCAGUCUUACCUUUCAACACAAGAUGGAGUAGGGAGUGGGAAUCAGUUGGAAAAGAAAAGUCUAAUGUGACA
ensembl:lncRNA